UGCAACUUUCAUCUUCCUGCCGUUCAUUUUCAUCUGCCUCGCCUUCAUUAACAAAGCAUAUGGUUUUGUGGGAGCUUGACAGUUUAAUCCUUUACAUCAUCAACUCAUCACAAAAACUAAAUCCGUUAAAUAAUAUUUUAACGUGUUUUUCAAGUUUGAAAAUUCAAAUUUCCUAGAUUAAGGUGAAAAGCUGCCAAACGUACCUCAUACAUAUACUUUGGGCAGAAGAUGCACAUACGCACGUAUAUAAAUAUAAGGUGGAAGCGCAAGUCACCUGAUUAAACGAACAACAUUCGCCCAGACCUACAAAUCGCAGAUGCAACGUUGCCAUGACAAAUUAAAACUUCGGCCGGUAAGAAGCUAUCAAAUAUAUGCACCUUUUGGACAUAUGAAUGUACAUAUACAGAGCUGAAUAUGAGCGUGAAGAUAAGGUUGAAGCACAAGUCACAGAAUUAAGGAGCAUCUGCAGACAAAUAAUGAAACUAACCUACAAACGGCUACCAAAACGGGGUCAAUCAGCAUGGACAACUUGAGGACAACUAUAAAAGAAUCAACUGAAUCGCCAUUUCUACACAAGUAUUCACAUAAAUCCGGACGAAAGGCAUACACUCUAAGGAAUCCGGCGAUAAGCGUGACUCUACUGGUUCUGGUGAUCGGGAAUUUUGGCGUUUUGUUGGUGGUGUGGUGAUUAAAUACAACCGUGCUGGUGGUGGGUAAUUUUCAUGAUGCAGUGACCAAGCUGUCACCGACCGGUGGCGUAUGAUCACCAUUCCGGUAAAAAGCUACAAAAUGCACGUCUUGCAUUUAUGUACAUACAUAUGCAGAACUGAAGAUGAACGUGAAGACAAGGUUCAAGCACAAGUCACAGAAUUAAACAGGAUCUACAGGAGAACAAUGGAGCUAACCUACAAACGGCUAAAAAAUGAUGUCCAUCUUCAUGGAAAACGUUAGGACAGCUGCACAAAUACAUAAUCAACUGAAUCGCCAUUUCUAUUCAAGUAUUCGCAUAAAUCAAUGGUAUGUAUUGAUGCUAGUGUAAAGCGCCAUACCAUAAUAAAUAAAUAAGUAUAUCACAAACUUGUAUAGUAAUGCAAAUUACUAUCCAUUUGGAAUGUAAUUUCCAAUAAAUAUGCACCGCUGUCGAUUACUUCACGCGACUGUAAUGACUGCCUCGAUGCGUUUAGCUGAUUCAGCGUCUUAAUAAAUACCAAGGAAAAUAACAAAGAUCCCUUACUCUCUUGGCUUCCUGUCCUCCCGUCGGUUUUGGCGGCCGAUACCCUGACCCAUCCAGCGGCAGCGGCUCCAGACAAGUACUCCGAAGAGGCAAAAUGACAUCCUACCGAGGGUAUCCUGUCAAUUGCACCAUUCGGUUCGGAGCGCACUCCACCCCGGGUAGACGCAUCGACAAAAACUCCAAUUUGGUCCACGACGGGUCCGGCACCGCUGGAGCGCAAGACUCCCACACUGCCACCAGGGCCUCUGGCUCAUUUAUCCCAAUCGCCCAAUCCGGGGUCCCCAGGUCUCCAUAACCCUCCCAGACCAGGCGUAGAAGAAAAUUGUCCGCCGACACCAACCUAGGACACAACACAAACUUCGUCAAUUCAGGAACAAGCCCGACCGAAAAUCAAGGGUGGUCCAAUUUCACAAUAUUACGCGAUCUUACCGCCAGCCAGCUAUCUCCUCCCGUCCUGGUACCCGUCCCAGCCUUUCUCCCGUGAAAUACGGGGACGUGGGAAUGCGGACCCUUGUCCCACGAUAACUGCCCACCGCGGAAUGCAUAGCACUCACGCACAGGCGCCUACCGUCCUCUACAGGGUUAGGGUCCCCCGCAAACAUGCCCAAUUCGAAAGUAAGUCGCGGAACCCAUCGGGCAUAAUAGAUUCCUCCCCCAUCAUGGAACGGCGUCACCUGGAAUCUCAUGCGAGGUCCCAAGACAACCCUGCCCAAUAACAAAUGUCCAUUUAUACAUAUAAUAAUCCCUCACCCAACAACUCCAACGGGCCAAUAAUGAUAUGGCAUAUAGGUAUAUAUAUUGGGUACAUGUUUAGUAGGGAAGCAGGCUGCAGCGGCAGUACAGGGGUCGUCAUUGUAAGACAAAAUUCCUGUCUGCUGCUGCCGGCCUGCCCCAAUACCUUGGUAAUAAAAUCGCAGAGUGAUUCCACCGACGGAAGAUUUAUCCGUGUUACUGGAGUGGAGUGGCGGACAGCAAUUUCGCCGCCACACUCCAUAAGUCGCUACAAAUUUCGAAAGAAUGGGGCCAUUUCAUGAAUAAUUUGCUCCCCUCUGAUGUUCGGCUAUAGUUAUUUGAAAAUCUGUACGUAUACAUAUUGUGCAUAUUAGAAAAAGGUACAUAUUUUUAUAUGCGUAUGUAAUAUGUAUGUACAAGCAUAUUAGCUAACAUUUGGUAACAUAUUACAUUUCAUAUUUUCUUUAUUAACCAACUCAAAACUAUUUUCUCACCAUGCUUGCCGUCAUGUCUAUCUAUCUGAUAAGGGUAAAUUUACAGAUUUAGAUGCGGUUAUUGUAAACGUGAAAGCAUGAAGUAUAUCUAUCUAGGCGUUGAAAUUAUGAUCGACUUAUGUAUCUGUCAUGCUUGUAGGUUUGAGGGCUUUGUGCAGGGCAUCCAGCAUUUCCUGAAAAAGUUUCCAGACACAUAAAAACAUGUAUAAAUGCUUGACAAUACUAUUAAUGACCACUAUUAUCAAUACCAAUGAAAUAAUUACGAUUUACAACUUUGUGCUUAAAUAGGAGUGUCCUUAAGUAAGGUAUGUAAUAUGAUUUGUGACGGAUUUAUUCGUACUUAUUUAUUAUCAUUUUACCACCAUUAGAUAUUAUUACAUCUUGAAGUGGUAAUUCUAUUUACGUAUGUACAGUAUUUUAAUUUAUUCAUUUAUUAAUAUUCCAAUAUGCCUAUGUAUGUAAAAUUAUAACCCAGUCCGGGUAAUACAUAAUAUUAAAUUUUAGUACAUUAAAUAUUAUUGACCACCAUUAUUAUCGGCUUUUGUGCUUCUGGCAUGCUCAUUGUAAAUGCAUUUUUCAACUUACAAAUUUGUAUCAGAUAACUUAAAGUGAAUUGUAGUUGACAUUUUUAUUAUCUUUAAUACACUUUUCGUAUUUACUUUACGCAUUUAAUACAUUUACAUAUUUAGUUAUGAUCCAGGUUGGAAUUUAAAAACUGUCAAUUGCUAAUAAAUUUUGAAGUUCUUAAUUGUCUAAAAUGUUUAGAAUAAACGAAUUCGUAU